rnacentral:rRNA from 1 species
AUUGAACGCUGGCGGAAUGCUUUACACAUGCAAGUCGAACGGCAGCACGGGAGCUUGCUCCUGGUGGCGAGUGGCGAACGGGUGAGUAAUGCGUCGGAACGUACCGAGUAAUGGGGGAUAACGCAGCGAAAGCUGUGCUAAUACCGCAUACGCCCUGAGGGGGAAAGUGGGGGAUCGCAAGACCUCACGUUAUUCGAGCGGCCGACGUCUGAUUAGCUAGUUGGUGGGGUAAAGGCCUACCAAGGCGACGAUCAGUAGCGGGUCUGAGAGGAUGAUCCGCCACACUGGAACUGAGACACGGUCCAGACUCCUACGGGAGGCAGCAGUGGGGAAUUUUGGACAAUGGGGGCAACCCUGAUCCAGCCAUUCCGCGUGAGUGAAGAAGGCCUCGGUUGUAAG